rnacentral:rRNA from 1 species
AGCAGCCGCGGUAAUUCCAGCUCCAAUAGCGUAUAUUAAAGUUGUUGCAGUUAAAAAGCUCGUAGUUGAAUUUCGGGGUUAGUAGGUUGGUCAUGCCUCUGGUAUGUACUGGUCUCACUGAUUCCUCCUUCCUGAUGAGCCGUAAUGCCAUUAAUUUGGUGUUGCGGGGAAUUUGGACUGUUACUUUGAAAAAAUUAGAGUGUUUAAAGCAAGCUAACGCUUGAAUACAUUAGCAUGGAAUAAUGAAAUAGGACGUUCGAUCCUAUUUUGUUGGUUUCUAGGAUUGACGUAAUGAUUAAUAGGGAUAGUUGGGGGCAUUAGUAUUCAAUUGUCAGAGGUGAAAUUCUUGGAUUUAUUGAAGACUAACUACUGCGAAAGCAUUUGCCAAGGGUGUUUUCAUUAAUCAAGAACGAAAGUUAGGGAUCGAAGACGAUCAGAUACCGUCGUAGUCUUACCAUAAACUNUAGCCGACUAGGGACUCGGAUGAUGUUAAUUUUUAUGUACUNAUUCGGCGCCUUAC